rnacentral:tRNA from 1 species
GGUAAAGUGGCAGGAUAGUUGAGCGUAGCGCUAACAACGCUAAGGUCGCGGGUUCGAUUCCCGUUUGGUCCC